rnacentral:sRNA from 1 species
UAGUAGAUGCACCCUGAUAACUCACUCCCCUAGUAGCUUUAGCUGCGAGGGGCUUUUUUU